AGUAACACUGGGUAACCUGCCUUAUGAGGGGGAGUAACAGAGAGAAAUCACUGCUAAUACCGCAUAAGCACACAGUACCGCAUGGUACAGGGUGAAAAGAUUUAUCGCCAUAAGAUGGACCCGCGUCUGAUUAGCCAGUUGGCAGGGUAAAAGCCUACCAAAGCAACGAUCAGUAGCCGAUCUGAGAGGAUGACCGGCCACAUUGGGACUGAGACACGGCCCAA
rnacentral:rRNA from 1 species